GGUUAUGGCUCAGUGGUAGAGCACUUGCCUAGCAUGUGUGAGGCACGGCACUGGGUUUGAUUCCCAGCACCA
rnacentral:tRNA from 1 species